AGCGUUACUAUAUGUUUUAGUAUAUUAUAUUGUAUUAACUAUAAAAAAGUAUAAAAAAAACUUUGAAAAUUACUGGUUAUAUCAGUGUUUGUGUGUCUGUUAGCUGUGUAUAUAUAUGUGCUAUAAAACUUGGUUAGUAUUAGCUAACUAUGCUUAACAUUUAGUGUUAUUAUUUAGUUGGAAACGUGCCUACAGUUUGGGUGUUGGUUCACAAUCUCAUCCCAUAAACAUUUUUGUCUCUCUCAUACACAUCAAACCAUUCAACAACAAAAAAAACCUAUCAUUCAACAAUUUGGAAAUUAYUUGAAUAUCAUAAACUUUUAUAAAGAUAAUUUCGACCAAACAUUUAAUCAACAAUGCCAUUUACGUGUUCCGAUAUCUGCAAGAUUAUUUUGGCAAUUAUAUUGCCACCAUUGGGAGUGUUGGCUGAGAAGGGUUGUGGUGUCGACCUUCUCAUUAAUAUAGCCUUAACUAUACUGGGAUUCAUACCGGGAAUCAUUCACGCGCUGUAUAUUAUAUUUAAAUACUGAUGUUUGCCAUUACUCUAUGAUUUUUUAAGUAAAACGAUUACUACUAUUAUUAAAGAAAAUAAAAUUUAUUACAACAAGCCUUUGAACACACAAUCAAAAAAAAAAUGUUUUUAAAAAUCAUACAAUUAUUAUGUGUAACUAAUUUUGUUUACUCUAAUUAUAUUUGCGGCCAAUUUUUAUUGUUUGUCUCAAAAUUUAUAAAUAUAUAUUAAUGUUAUGUAUAUGUUAUUAACUAUAAUACACUGAGAAUUGAAUAUUUAUCAUGUUUAUAAAUUUACAUAAUUACGAUAUAAA